UAAAUUGGUAGCAGAAUCAUUUAUGAAAUCUGUGUUUUAUUUAAAGCUUCUCUGUAUUGUACUGCAGCUUCCUAAAACAGUUGAAUUGCACAGAAAGCAGUACCCUUCCAAGAAAGACCCAACCAAUCCCCCAGCGUGGGUUCCUGGAGGAGGAGCCCGGCGAGGGAUGGUUGAGGAAGUACAGAGGCACCCAGAAGCAGCAGGGAACAGCAAGAAAAACAAGAGGAGACAAAGCAGGAAGGCUGCACACCAUGACCUGGGGACUCUCAUGGCAGCACGCAUGCUGGGAAGGUGAGAGUUUUAAGAGCUGCACUUCCACCCUGUGUCAAGUCACGGGCAGUCACAAGAAUUGUUUCUGGAUCACACAGGCACCGCAGAUCAGUGGGGCGUCUGGGCCCUAGCUUAGCCAUUCCUUAGUCAGCUGUUUGUUUUGUCUAAACCAUGAGAUAAAUGGUAAAUUUAGAGGAAAUUAAGAUGCUGGGGGGAUUGUCUUAUUUGGAAGCAUAAGAAGUGAGAAUUUCUGAGUUAAAGAAAACAUUUCGAAUGCUUCGUGCUGCUGAUGGCUGUUAUGGGGUGGGGGAGCUCGCUGCUUUCAGACAGAGUGCUAAAGGUAAGAUGAGUAUCACGUGCUUCUGCACGUCCUGCCUGGACAGUUUAAACAGCUCAGCCUUCGGCGUUCAGAAGCUGCUAUUGAUCCGAUGAGAUGGUGAUGCAGAAGGACAGGCAGUAAUCUGUUAUCUAAAGGACAUUCCUACUGAGAACAAACAAGUUCUGACUCUCAGACACUGGAAAGAAACCAAAAAUGUGGUGGUUAUAGCUGAAGAAGUUGGGAACUGAGGCCUCAAUGUGUUGUGACCAAUUUUGACUUUCCCACGGCGCAUUACACACGGCUGUUCCUGCUGAUGAGAGUUUUGUAGAGGCAGGUAAUGGCCGUGGGAUUCUUUCCUGCCAGGCAGUUCACCUGGGAUGUGCUUCCAGAACAAGGCUGAUAAAGCUAAGUGAUGAUUGCUAUACAUUCAGCAAAUUUAGGGCAACAUGAAACCCUUCUUGUUGCAGGCACAUUUUGUGCCGAGUGCUGUUUGCUCCGGAAGACACGAGAAAGACUGUUCUUGCUCUUUAGCUUUUUCCAGAAAUCUAAGAUAACUUUUAACUUGAGAUCCAUAUGUUCAUCAGAUCGAGAUCAAUGAUAAAUAGUUCUGAAUCGUGACUGGUAUUUCGAACAUAUGACAUUCCUCAUAAAGCUAUUUUGGACACCGUUAUUCCAGGCACACGGAGCGGUUUUGGCUCAAGUUGAACUGCGUCAGUCACCGAGACAUUUAUUGCCAGGGGAAGAAACUCCUUCUCCCUCCCCUAGAAGCCAGCAGCGUGUGCCAGCAUGUAUUUUUACAAUAUCGGUUUUAUAAGAACGGUUUCUCACUUUUACUCAUUUGAGAAUUGAAUUAGCUUUUGCUGCUGCUUCACUGACUCCACAGAACAUUUCCCCACAAUCGUUUAACACGCUAUUAAAUUCUGGAGUAUGUUGUCUGUACAGCUGAUAAUUUGAUUUUGAGUGAUGUUUGUGUCAUUACUAAGCAUUUUAGUCAGCAACAACAAUGUCAGGAAUAUGGAGCGGGGCUUUUAACAAUGAGCUCCAAAAGAGGUUGAGAAACCUGGGUGUAAGGCUGCCCAUGAACAGAAGGGAUUGCUUUCAGAGCCAUCAUGUUCCCGGGGCUUCCGAGGCUCGAUUCAUUUAAACUUGCUGCUUUUGCAUUUUCAACGGCUUCGUUAGUGUCUCCUAUUUAAUCCAAACUGGGCAAAAUUUGGUUUCAUAAAUCUAUUUUAAAACAGUUUGGAGCUUCCAAACUGCAAAACAUAAAGUACUUUGAGGAUCGUGCUUCUCUCCAAAUGUCUUUAUAUUGCACAUUGUUAUGCAAGGGCUAUCACAUACCAGAGAAGAUCUUGCAGAUUAUUAACUUUGGCCAUCUAUUUAUUCUCCAGUUCUGGACCUCAUUUCCCAGCACAACUGGGCAGCUCAUCCCACUGAAAAUGAAUGCUCUUAAAGCCGUGCUGCUUUGAAAUCACCAAACUCGAGAGAAUUGGUGUCUGAGCACCAAAGUUGACAGAGAAGUUAUUUUCCUUACUAGCAAUUUACUAUGUGGAAGUUUUGUACCAUUAUUUAACAAAAGAAAGAGGAGAGGGGAGGAGAGCCUGUUUAACCAAUGCUGCACACGUAUCUUUCUGCCCACGGACGCUGACAUCAGGACAGAUGUGUUUCUGGCUGUGGCACCGUGCUGGGGUUCUGGCAGCAGCAGCUGACGAGGUCCUCAGCCCAUCCCAAACUCUGCCUUGGGGUCUCCUCUCCACCCUCACCAGAGGGACAUGCCUUUUCCAUGGCUGUGGGCGAGUGACUGGUCUAAUUAAAAGUGGAAAUAACCACCGAAGUGCUAGUGACCAGCUAACAGGCCGUGUUGCUUUGGGUUUUUUGGUUACUUAUGGGGAUGGGAAAGGUGAGAUGGCGUGAUUAGCGAAAAACGUGGUCCUUUGCUGCUUAUUAGGUUUUGUGUAUUUUUGGUUUCUCCCUAAAAGACUUGUCCUAGAUAAUUUCUCUGCAGCUUGAGAAUGCUUUGCUUUGUGAGGAUGUAAUCCGGUGUAGGAUUCAGCAGUAAUUAGCCAUGUGGAUAUUUAUGGAGACAUUGUAACCUGCAUUGUUCAUGAAUAUUUCACCGUGGUGGAAAUUUCACACCCAAUAAAUCACUAAUGAAAAUGUCA
rnacentral:lncRNA from 1 species